UCCCUUCCGGUCAUCGAGACCAUUGAUGACCGGAAGGAAUCCCUUCCGGUCAUCGAGACCAUUGAUGACCGGAAGGAAUCCCUUCCAGUCAUCGAGACAAUCCGAAUUUCGAUGACCGGAAGGAA
rnacentral:miRNA from 1 species